UCCGUUGUGGUCUUUAGUGGAUCAUAUGCACAGCGCUGAUUUGUAAUCAGGGGGUCGGGAGUUCAAGUCUCUCAGGCGGCACCA
rnacentral:tRNA from 1 species